AGGGAGUUAGCUCAAACGGUAGAGCGUACUGGCGGAAAACAGUAGGAGCAGGUUCGAUUCCUGCACUCCCAA
rnacentral:tRNA from 1 species